rnacentral:lncRNA from 1 species
UUGGCAUGAACACUAAUGUAAUAAUCUCAAAAGGUUUUGAACUAAGUUAUUGGAAAGAUCUCUUAUGUGUGUUACUUGAUAUACUUGUGGGUGGUAGCUCAGGGGCUUAAGCCUAGCAUGGGCUGAUCCCGAUAUUUGAUAUGAUUACAGUUGAUAUGUACUGGGGGCAGCCUAAUGGUCACAGUAUGGUACAGUAUUGAUUAUUGUUAGGUGGUUGGAGGUUCGGGAGGAGGAGGUAAUGGCGAAUGAUAAUUGUAAAGAAUGAAAUGAACGAAUGUAUACCAUUCCACAAAUGUGUUUGAAUUCAAGAACCCA